CAAUCUAAAAUGAAUGCCACAUUGACUUUUUUUACCCCCUUUCCUGAAGGUACAAAAUUGGCAUCAGCUGUCACACUGGUUGCAGCCCUGAUUCACAAGGGGUAAUUGCAGGAUUAACAGCAUGCCCAACUGGUUCAAGGAGAUCACCAUGGGUUCCUAAGUAAGGUGAGAUGAGUUGUGGUGGUGUACUGCAUCUUUUAGCAAUACAGUGAUGACUCCAUAGUUCAGCUGAUGUCCUUUGAUGAUUCAGAGCAUUGUCUUUCGCUCCUAUCUGAUGUAUCCGCACACAGAUAUAACAAAUCUGUGGCUACUGGCUCUACCUGACUUGUGACUUUGUUUCUCUUGCAGGCAGCCUGUGGUGGAUGCCUCUGGAUCACCAUUUACGGUUGGUAUUGAGUUGAUGCAGUUGUACUGCAUCUUAGCAAUACAGUGAUGACUGCAUAGUUCAGCUGAUGUCCUUUGAUUCAGAGCAUUGUCUUUCGCUCCUAGCUGAUGUAUUGAUGUGCUAGUGGCAUGUUGGUGUUAAUAGAUUGAAGCUGGUCUAAUGUGGUGGUCUCUUGUGUAGGACCUGGUGAAGGAGCUCUUGGAAUGAAGCCCCCCUGAGCCUUUUGGUGGUUGAUGCCUCAGGUAACUAAUGCACAGCUUGCUCUAGCUUCUCAUGCAUGCGAUCUGAUUAGGAUGAUACGAAUCAGGUCUCUGAUCUUUUUGAGGACAUCUGAGUAACUGAAUCAGGUUGCGUUGUAUUGAUGCUACAUCUGAUGAAGGCUGAACGUGGCUAAUGUUCCACUCAUGUUCCACAGCAGCCAUGUCUUCAGUUCCUGCACCAUUCGCCCUCUAGGGAGUGCAGAUGGGAGUUGACCAGGGGCUGUGAAUGAGGAAGGUGUCUGCUCUGAGUCCUGGUGUGCGGUAUCUCCACCUUGUCGUUUUCCUCAUGUUGCAGCGUCUGAAUCCUGGUGUGCGGUAUCUCCACCUUGCCGUUUUCCUCAUGUUGCAGGGUCCUGGAGGCUUUGGAAGACUGAGCCCAGGGUGCUGUGGACAUUGUUGCAGUUGAAGAUGAGCAUCAGCCUCGGCCUGAACGUUGGACAUUCUGGUGUGAAAUGCCCAGACUCUUUAUGAAAUAAAAACAUUUGAACUUACCCUUGUGUUUGUGUG
rnacentral:lncRNA from 1 species